CCCUACGGGGGGCAGCAGUAGGGAAUCUUCCCCAAUGGGCGAAAGCCUGAUGGAGCGACGCCGCGUGGGUGAAGAAGGUCUUCGGAUCGUAAAACCCUGUUGUUAGAGAAGAAAGUGCGUGAGAGUAACUGUUCACGUUUCGACGGUAUCUAACCAGAAAGCCACGGCUAACUACGUGCCAGCAGCCGCGGUAAUACGUAGGUGGCAAGCGUUAUCCGGAUUUAUUGGGCGUAAAGGGAACGCAGGCGGUCUUUUAAGUCUGAUGUGAAAGCCUUCGGCUUAACCGUAGCAGUGCAUUGGAAACU
rnacentral:rRNA from 1 species